GGAGUGGGAGGGUUACUAAUCUUCAGUGCUAUUCUUGCUCUGUCUCUAAUACUUAUCAAAGAACUGAACAUUACAGUUGUAUGGUUGCCUUACCUAGCUAUCGUGUCUGUGAUAUGUUACAUUAUUGCAUUUGCCUCAGGUCCAGGAUCAAUACCAUGGUUUAUGGUUGCUGAGAUUUUUUCGCAAGGUCCACGAUCAGCGGCAAUUUCUGUGUCCACCAUGGUAAACUGGUUCUCGAACUUCACAGUUGGACUACUUUUCCCUUUAUUGAAUGAGCUGGCAAUUCAUCAAUACUCCUUCCUUCCGUUUGUGGUGCUGUUGAUUAUAUUCUUAAACUUCAUAUACAGAAGGGUUCCCGAGACGAAAGGGAAAACCUUUGAACAGAUCUCACUACUGUUUAGAAGGCCUGACAUGAUGGUUUAUGAAAGCAUUAUUCAGCAGGAUUCUAUUAAUACAGCAUAGACCAGGUUACAAAAUGAAGAUUCAUCCCACAAUUCAUUAACUUAUUAUAUUAUUAUAAUUUUUAUUAAUAUAACUAUUAUAUUUUUAUAUGUGCAAUCAGUAUAAGAAAACGUUUUUGUUGGAAGAAAAAUUCAAAACAACAAUUUCAAUUAGUAUGUAAUUGUUUUUAAAAAAAUGUUUACUAAAUUCACUUUCCCACAUGGAACUUAGUUAAACACCUCAAUGAACAUGGUCAAUCAAAAACAGUUGGAAGGAAUUAUUAUUUUCUAAUCGCAAAUUGUUUAAUCUUGUAUAAACUGAAUAAAAAAAUUAAUAAAAAGUUGAUAAGAUAUGUAGUGUCAUGCAAUGGUAUAAAAUCUCAAUAAACUUUAAAGACAUCAAAUACUAUUUUUAAAUAAACCAGCUUUAAUGUUAAAAUGCAUGCCUUGGUUUCAUUCAAUUAUUCAAAUUCAAUGAAUAGUUGUGCAUUUGUCAGAUUGUAAA